rnacentral:rRNA from 1 species
UCCCAACCCCAAUGUGAACGUUACCAAUCUGUUGCCUCGGCGGGAUUCUCUUGCCCCGGGCGCGUCGCAGCCCCGGAUCCCAUGGCGCCCGCCGGAGGACCAACUCCAAACUCUUUUUUUCUCUCCGUCGCGGCUCCCGUCGCGGCUCUGUUUUAUUUUUGCUCUGAGCCUUUCUCGGCGACCCUAGCGGGCGUCUCGAAAAUGAAUCAAAACUUUCAACAACGGAUCUCUUGGUUCUGGCAUCGAUGAAGAACGCAGCGAAAUGCGAUAAGUAAUGUGAAUUGCAGAAUUCAGUGAAUCAUCGAAUCUUUGAACGCACAUUGCGCCCGCCAGUAUUCUGGCGGGCAUGCCUGUCCGAGCGUCAUUUCAACCCUCGAACCCCUCCGGGGGUUCGGGUGUUUUGGGGGAUCGGCCCCUCACCGGGCCGCCCCCGAAAUACAGUGGCGGUCUCGCCGCAGCCUCUCCUGCGCAGUAGUUUGCACACUCGCACCGGGAGCGCGGCGCGGCCACAGCCGUAAAACACCCCAAACUUCUGAAAUGUUGACCUCGGAUCAGGUAGGAAUACCCGCUGAACUUAAGCAUAUCAUA